rnacentral:rRNA from 1 species
AUUGAACGCUGGCGGCAUGCCUUACACAUGCAAGUCGAACGGCAGCACGGGGGCAACCCUGGUGGCGAGUGGCGAACGGGUGAGUAACACAUCGGAACGUACCCAGUUGUGGGGGAUAACCAGUCGAAAGACUGGCUAAUACCGCAUGAUCUGGCGACAGCAAAGCGGGGGAUCGCAAGACCUCGCGCGAUUGGAGCGGCCGAUGUCCGAUUAGCUAGUUGGUGGGGUAAAGGCCCACCAAGGCUUUGAUCGGUAGCUGGUCUGAGAGGA